UGGGGAAUAUUGGACAAUGGGCGAAAGCCUGAUCCAGCCAUGCCGCGUGUGUGAAGAAGGUCUUCGGAUUGUAAAGCACUUUAAGUUGGGAGGAAGGGCAGUAAGCGAAUACCUUGCUGUUUUGACGUUACCGACAGAAUAAGCACCGGCUAACUCUGUGCCAGCAGCCGCGGUAAUACAGAGGGUGCAAGCGUUAAUCGGAAUUACUGGGCGUAAAGCGCGCGUAGGUGGUUCGUUAAGUUGAAUGUGAAAGCCCCGGGCUCAACCUGGGUACUGCAUCCAAAACUGGCGAGCUAGAGUAGGGCAGAGGGUGGUGGAAUUUCCUGUGUAGCGGUGAAAUGCGUAGAUAUAGGAAGGAACACCAGUGGCGAAGGCGACCACCUGGGCUCAUACUGACACUGAGGUGCGAAAGCGUGGGGAGCAAACAGG
rnacentral:rRNA from 1 species